CCUACGGGUGGCAGCAGUGGGGAAUAUUGCACAAUGGGGGAAACCCUGAUGCAGCGACGCCGCGUGAGUGAAGAAGUAUUUCGGUAUGUACAGCUCUAUCAGCAGGGAAGAAAAUGAGGGUACCUGAUUAAGAAGCCCGUGCUAACUACGUGCCAGCAGCCGCGGGAAUACGUAGGGGGAAAGCGUUAUCCGGUUUUAAUGGGUGAAAAGGGAGCGGAGACGGUUGCACAAGUCUGGAGUGAAAUGCCUGGGCUUAACCCCGGAACUGCAUUGGAAACUGUGCAGCUAGAGUGCAGAAGAGGUCAGUGGAACUCCUAGUGUAGCGGUGGAAUGCGUAGAUAUUAGGAGGAACACCAGUGGCGAAGGCGGCUGACUGGACUGUAACUGACGUUGAGGCUCGAAAGCGUGGGGAGCAAACAGGAUUAGAUACCCGGGUAGUC
rnacentral:rRNA from 1 species